AGUGAACGCUGGCGGUAGGCCUAACACAUGCAAGUCGAACGGCAGCACAGUAAGAGCUUGCUCUUACGGGUGGCGAGUGGCGGACGGGUGAGGAAUACAUCGGAAUCUACUUUUUCGUGGGGGAUAACGUAGGGAAACUUACGCUAAUACCGCAUACGACCUACGGGUGAAAGCAGGGGAUCUUCGGACCUUGCGCGAUUGAAUGAGCCGAUGUCGGAUUAGUUAGUUGGCGGGGUAAAGGCCCACCAAGGCGACGAUCCGUAGCUGGUCUGAGAGGAUGAUCAGCCACACUGGAACUGAGACACGGUCCAGACUCCUACGGGAGGCAGCAGUGGGGAAUAUUGGACAAUGGGCGCGAGCCUGAUCCAGCCAUACCGCGUGGGUGAAGAAGGCCUUCGGGUUGUAAAGCCCUUUUGUUGGGAAAGAAAAGCAGCAGGUUAAUACCCCGCUGUUCUGACGGUACCCAAAGAAUAAGCACCGGCUAACUUCGUG
rnacentral:rRNA from 1 species